GCACUCUCACCACCACAACCCAGGUUCCUUUCCAGGUCAAGGAACCUUCCUGCCAGCUGUCAUUCUGUGAUAGCUCAUGUUUCUGCGAUUCUGUUAUGCCACUGGUAUUUCAAACACCAGCAGGGUGGACAGGUUUCAACAGAGGUUACAGACAAGACGAGGCAAGACCUGGCCACACACUUGUGAAAGAAAAAACUAGCCAUGAAAACCCUAUGAAUAGCAGUCUGAUACUGCACCAGCAAGUGAGAAAAGGGUGCAAAAAAGACCAGAUAGGGUUCAACUCUGCUGUACACAAGGUGACUAGAAGUCAGAAGUGACUAGAGGCACCAACAAUAGCCUGAACACAUUUAACUCCUCAGGUUGAGAAGCACUCUGCUCUCUAGUUCUGGUAUAUUCCAUUCCAAACCCUGAAGGACAAAAAGAACUCAUCUCACCAAGCAACUAUGUGCUGGUCUUCGUGUACACUCUAAUCUUCAGCCUUGCAUUAUACUCAACUUACAGAUAACACUGAAGGCCGAGUAUUUUCAGAUACUAGACAUAUGAACACAAACUUUAGUCUAAAAAGCCUGCUCUAACAUCUUUACACCAGACUAUUGACCCAAACCAGCUGAGUACUCAUUUUUCCCAGACCCUGAAUGUCACUCUUACAGUUCGGGGGAAAGAAGCUGCAAUGUUCAUCUCUUAAGGCAGAAUUUGCCAGGGUUCACACCUGUUGUGCUGGCAUAAUUAUAUCAUCUCUUAGUAUUCUCAAACUAGGGUUUGUGAGAUAUGUUAUAUGGCCAUCUUGUCACAACAUUUUGAUAGCAAAAAACCUGCAGAUACUAUUAGCAACUUAAUCAUCUUCCAUGAGAGCAAAUUUACAUGGCAAUUACCACAUUAGAUUUUACAAAUAUAAACUCAUUUACACACCAAUUUACUCAAAGAAAACUGUAAAAGUGUGCACAUACACACGUGUACCUGGUCCCCCUCACAUCACUCUUUGAAUCCACGAGUGUGUCCAGGAUCUGACCAUACACUCUACCUUAUCUCAAAUACCUAAUGGCAGAGCAGUUACCUGUCAUUAAGCAGCAUCCAUUCCCUGCAAUUUGUUUUAAGGAUUCCAAGCCCAAAUAACU
rnacentral:lncRNA from 1 species